CCUACGGGCGGCUGCAGUGGGGAAUAUUGCACAAUGGGCGCAAGCCUGAUGCAGCCAUGCCGCGUGUGUGAAGAAGGCCUUCGGGUUGUAAAGCACUUUCAGCGGGGAGGAAGGCGUUAAGGUUAAUAACCUUGGCGAUUGACGUUACCCGCAGAAGAAGCACCGGCUAACUCCGUGCCAGCAGCCGCGGUAAUACGGAGGGUGCAAGCGUUAAUCGGAAUUACUGGGCGUAAAGCGCACGCAGGCGGUCUGUCAAGUCGGAUGUGAAAUCCCCUGGCUCAACCUGGGAACUGCAUUCGAAACUGGCAGGCUAGAGUCUUGUAGAGGGGGGUAGAAUUCCAGGUGUAGCGGUGAAAUGCGUAGAGAUCUGGAGGAAUACCGGUGGCGAAGGCGGCCCCCUGGACAAAGACUGACGCUCAGGUGCGAAAGCGUGGGGAGCAAACAGGAUUAGAUACCCGAGUAGUC
rnacentral:rRNA from 1 species